rnacentral:rRNA from 1 species
CCUACGGGUGGCAGCAGUAGGGAAUAUUGCUCAAUGGGGGAAACCCUGAAGCAGCAACGCCGCGUGGAGGAUGAAGGUUUUCGGUUUGUAAACUCCUUUUUUUAGAGAAGAUAAUGACUGUAUCUAACGAAUAAUCACCGGCUAACUCCGUGCCAGUAGCCGCGGUAAUACGGAGGGUGCAGCCGUUAAUCGGAAUCACGGGGCGUAAAGAGCGCGUAGGCGGGAUAGCAAGUCAGAUGUGAAAUCCUAGGGCUUAACCAUAGAACUGCAUUUGAAACUGUUAUUCUAGAGUAUGGGAGAGGUAGGUGGAAUUCUUGGUGUAGGGGUAAAAUCCGUAGAGAUCAAGAGGAAUACUCAUUGCGAAGGCGACCUGCUAGAACAUAACUGACGCUGAUGCGCGAAAGCGUGGGGAGCAAACAGGAUUAGAUACCCGAGUAGUC